rnacentral:rRNA from 1 species
CUAGUAAUCGCGGAUCAGCAUGCCGCGGUGAAUACGUUCUCGGGCCUUGUACACACCGCCCGUCACACCAUGGGAGUCGGUAACACCCGAAGUCUGUAGCCUGACGCAAGAGGGCGCAGCCGAAGGUGGGGUUGAUGACUGGGGUGAAGUCGUAACAAGGUACC